AUCUGUGGCCACACCACCCUGAAGGCACCCAAUCUCGUUUGAUCUCGGAAGCUAAGCAGGGUUGGGGCCUGGUUAGUACUGGAUGGGAGAUGGAGUCUCACUCUGUUGCCCAGGCU
rnacentral:rRNA from 1 species